UACGUAGGGGGCAAGCGUUGUCCGGAUUUAUUGGGCGUAAAGAGCUCGUAGGUGGUUCGGUAAGUCGGAUGUGAAAUCUCCAGGCUCAACCUGGAGGGGUCAUUCGAUACUGCCGUGACUAGAGUUCGGUAGGGGAGUGUGGAAUUCCUGGUGGAGCGGUGAAAUGCGCAGAUAUCAGGAGGAACACCGGUGGCGAAGGCGGGACUCUGGGCCGAUACUGACGCUGAGGAGCGAAAGCGUGGGGAGCGAACAGG
rnacentral:rRNA from 1 species